AAACUUUUGAAGAGGCUAUGAAUAGUGGUCAAUCUAAGGAGUGGCUUAAGGCUAUGAAAGAAGAGAUGAGUUCUCUAGAAAAGAAUCAAACUUGGGAGUUAGUACCGAGACAUAAGAAUAAAUCAAUCGUUGAUUGCAAGUGGGUCUUUAAGGUUAAGGAAGGUACUAGUAGUUCAGAACCCUUAAGAUUUAAGGCUAGGUUAGUAGCGAAGGAUUACACACAGAAAAAAGGUGUUGAUUAUAACGAGAUUUUCUCACCAGUUGUAAAGUAUACUACUAUUAGGGUCAUGCUCACAUUGGUUGCGCUCUUUGACUAGGAACUUGAACAACUCGAUGUAAAAAUCGUUUUUUUAUACGGAGAGCUUGAUGAACAAAUCUUUAUGAAUCAACCAAAAGGUUUUAAAGACAAGUUAAAACCUGAUUAUGUGUGUUUUCUGAAGAGAUCCCUAUACGGUCUAAAGCAAUCACCUAGACAGUGGUACAAGAGGUUUGAUUUCUUUGUACUCAUUAUAGGAUUUCAAAGAAAUAAAUUCGAUCACUACCUAUACUUUCAACACAACGAGACUGAUAACAAUUAUUUUAGUUGGAUCAUCUCCUAAGUGGAUAAACAAUAUAAAAGCAGACCUUAGUGGAGAAUUUGACAUGAAAGACCUAGGAAAGGCUAAAAAGAUUCUAGGCAUGGAAAUAGAAUGAAAUAGGUCAAAUUCCAUCGUAUUCUUGCAUCAGUCUCCAUACAUAUCAAAGGUGUUGAAAUGGUUUAAUAUGAGUGACUGCAAACCUGUCACGUUGCCUCUUGCAAACCAUUUUGUUCUAUCUAAAGAACAAGCUCCCUGCAAUGAACGUGAAGUGGAAUACAUGAGUAAAAUUUCAUACUCAAAUGUGAUUGGUUCCAUAAUGUAUUUGAUGGUUUGCACUAGACCGGACUUAGGAUUCGCUGUUAGUACUCUCAGUAGGUACAUGUCUAAUCCAGGUCCUGAACAUUGGGAAGCAUUAAAGUGGCUUUUAAGAUAUUUGAAGGGUACAAGUGACGUAGGUCUAAAAUUUAGUGCUAAUAAGGAAGACGUGAAAUUAAAGGGUUUUGUAGAUGCUGACUAUGCAAGAGAUAGGGAUGGUAGGAAAUCAACUUCCUCUUACGUAUUCAUCUUAUCAAAUUCGUGUGUUAGUUGAAAAUCACAGUUACAACACAUAGUUGCACUAUCCACUACAGAGUCAGAAUAUAUUGUCACCACUGAAACAAUUAAAGAGGCUCUAUGGUUUAGAAGUCUACUUCAUGAACUAAGUGUCUUGAAUGAGUAUGUGGUUGUGUAUUCUGAUAGUCAGUCAUCCAUACAUUUGUGUAAGAAUCCUAUUUUUCACGAACGCACUAAAUAUAUCGAUGUUAGGCUACACUUCAUUAGGGAUAUAAUAUCACAAGAAGUAGUAAGACUUGAAAAAAUCCACACACAAUAUAAUCCUUCGGAUAUGGGCACAAAAGUGCUGCUACUGGUAAAGUUUAGAAGUUGCAAGGAGCUUCUAAAUAUCGGUAUAGGUAAAUCAUUUCUAAUUUUAUCGAUUUUCUGUUAGAGGUGUCACUAAUGGAAAAUGUUUUCUCUUUGCAGAUCCUUUGACACCAAGGUGGAGAUUGUUAGACAUCAUGUUGUCAAACGACCUCUCGGACGAUGAUGUAAACCAGUUUUAUCAGUCGACAUGAAUGACUGAACGAUAAAUCAACAUCGAAUAAUGGGAUGACCCGACUUAACGUUGUUUUACCUAUUGGAUGGCUAAUAAACCUUUGUGGCUUGUUGGUGUGCUAUUGGGCCAUAACCCUAGUCGAGCCCACUUACCAUAUGUAUAACUUACCUUAUUGUUUGUCAUUGGUUUAUUAUUUAUAUUGGUAACUCUCAUAGCCUUCUAAGGUCCCGUUUUUGUGAAAGAACCCGAGAGAGAGAGAGAGAGAGAGGCCGUGUCUUCUUCUUCUUCGUGCAUUCUACUUCUUGAUCUUGUGUACAUCUUGCUUGUGUCUUUGUGACCCUUACCUGUGUGGUAUUCAUUCUUUGUGAGUGAGCAAACAACAAGCAGAAGGAAGAAAAGCAACCAUAGGUAGAACUCGUGAGGUUGGCGGCGGGUACCUUCGGUUUUGGUGUUGAUUCGGCGUUUUAAAGAUUAACUGAGCCCGAAAAUCAUCUUGAGCAGCUUGAGGAAGAUCCUAACAAUGUUGAAAGUGUUAAAGCAAAAAUAUUUCAAGCUCCAUAGAUAAAAAAUGCUCUACUUGAAUUGGCAAUCGUUGAUGAUCCUAAAACAAAAAGUGAGGCGGGGUGUUUGGCAACAUACGAAAUAGAAAAUUUUGAAUUCUUACUUGGGAUGGUUAUUUGGUAUGAAGUGUUGAAUAAUGUUAAUAGAGUAAGCAAACAUUUGCAAAUAGAAGACAUCCAUAUUGAUAUUACUAUAGACCAUUUAAAAUGGCUCAUUUCAUUUUUCAAAGGUUAUAGAGAAAUUGAGUUUGAAUUCGCUAUGAUUGAUGCUAAAGAGAUCGCAAUUGAAUUAGA
rnacentral:lncRNA from 1 species